UCGAGAAUCUUCGGCAAUGGGCGCAAGCCUGACCGAGCGACGCCGCGUGGAGGACGAAGGCCUUCGGGUUGUAAACUCCUGUCGAGGGGGAGGAAGGCGGCGCGAAGAGCGUCGCUUGACCGAUCCCUGGAGGAAGCACGGGCUAAGUUCGUGCCAGCAGCCGCGGUAAGACGAACCGUGCGAACGUUAUUCGGAAUCACUGGGCUUAAAGCGCGUGUAGGCGGCCCGGCGCGUCUUUCGCUGAAAUCCCCCGGCUCAACCGGGGAAGGGGCGGGGAUACGGCCGGGCUGGAGGGGGGUAGGGGGAUCGGGAACUUCCGGUGGAGCGGUGAAAUGCGUUGAGAUCGGAAGGAACGCCCGCGGCGAAAGCGCGGUCCUGGACCCCACCUGACGCUGAGACGCGAAAGCCAGGGGAGCGAACGGGAUUAGAUACCCCCGUAGUCC
rnacentral:rRNA from 1 species